UGGCGGACGGGUGAGUAACGCGUAGGUAUCUAUCCUUGGGUGGGGGGACAACUGUGGGAAACUACAGCUAAUACCGCAUGAUAACUGAGGUUUAAAGGCGCAAGUCGCCUGAGGAGGAGCCUGCGUACGAUUAGCUAGUUGGUGGGGUAAAGGCCUACCAAGGCGACGAUCGUUAGCUGGUCUGAGAGGAUGAUCAGCCACAUUGGGACUGAGACACGGCCCAA
rnacentral:rRNA from 1 species